CCCUUAGAUGUCCGGGGCUGCACGCGCGCCACACUGAGUGGAUCAGCGUGCGUCUACCCUUCGCCGAGAGGCGUGGGUAACCCGCUGAACCCCACUCGUGAUAGGGAUUGGGGAUUGCAAUUAUUUCCCAUGAACGAGGAAUUCCCAGUAAGCGCGGGUCAUAAGCUCGCGUUGAUUAAGUCCCUGCCCUUUGUACACACCGCCCGUCGCUACUACCGAUUGGAUGGUUUAGUGAGGUCCUCGGAUCGGCCCCGCCGGGGUCGGUCACGGCCCUGGCGGAGCGCCGAGAAGACGAUCAAACUUGACUAUCUAGAUGAAGUAAAAGUCGUAACA
rnacentral:rRNA from 1 species